GACGUUCCACCCUCUCACACCGACUUCCUGACUCACACUGCAGGAGUGCAAACGAGGUGGGAGUAAGAGAUAAACCAUUAAGAACAAAUGGUUCGUCAUUAAGCGUACAGAAGUGAACGUGUUGAAGACUAAAUCCUCAUCAGUGAGCUAAAGACUCCUCCUCCAAAGUACACGGACUCCAUUUAACAUCGCCCUUCUUUUGAGAGAAAUCCCACCCAAAGUGAUGCGCUAUGUGGCAUGAAGUGUGACAGGAGAAAUAGUAAUUUUCACGGAUACAAGAAGAAAAUUCUGCUCUUCUCACAGAUAAUCUCUAAGGUUUCCCGGAAAAUUCUUCUUUAUACGAGAAAGCAAACAAAGAGACGGACGAGUUCAUGAUGAAAGACGAGAAAAUCUAUCAAAGGGUUUCUGCACACACUGUGUCCAUCUUCUUAAGUGAAACAGAAUCAAGGGAUUACUCAAUUUAUUAGAGACUGGAAAAUAAAUCUUGAGUCCUUAAUUAAAUGCAACGUCUUAAUAAAAUUAAAUGACCAUUUGAAAUCUUUCUUGACCUCCCCGAUGAAGGAUUAAAGUCCUAAGAAUUGUUUUUUUUAUUGAGCUUAAAUUGAAUAAAAGCUCUUGAUGGUAAAGUGGAAAA